GUGAAGUGCCUGGGGGGCGGGGAGCAGUGAUUGAGGAGCAGAGCAGCAGAUGCUGUCCAGGUGCCCUCAUUCCCCAGGCGAGUGAGGAUGCAGACAGUAGGUAACUAGAGAUGAAGUUCAUUCAUUUAUUCGGCAACAGGGGACACUGGGUGCCUGAGAAGUGCCAGGCAUUGUACUGGGCAGCAGUGAACACGAUACACAAGAUCCCUAUUUAGUUUGCCUAAUUUCCUAAAACACGAUUUGGGGGCAUGGGAGCGAGAGCCCCGUGGGGUAUUGGAGCUUUCCUAACUGCCGAUGGGACCUUGAAGGAGAUCUUUCGACAGGUGUGUGGCCCGGUCAGCACCCAUCCAAAUCCUGCCUCUCCAGCAAGGCCCACCUCCGCCAUGAGGCCAGAUAGCCCACUCCUGCCUCUUCUGCCAGGCGACCUUGACUCGGCAUUCUCACUGCGUGUCACUCCAGCAUGAACUUCCGUGUGGACACAUCCGUCUCAUUUGCUGGGGAAGCACAGUAGACGUGGGCCUUUGGAACUGGCCGUCCAGGCUCCAGCACUAACUGGCACGUGAACUUGCACUGGUGGGCUCACCCCUCUGAGCUCCGGUUCCCUCCUUUAUGGAAGGGAACAAUAUCUGCUCAACUGAGGGAUGGUAAGACUCAGAGGACGCAGUGCAUGACGGGAAGUCUUUGGUGGAAGUGAGCUGCAUCCUUGGACAGCCAGGCAAAGCUCCUCUUGCAUCUCUGAAACUUCAGCACCCGGGUUACAGACGCGUGUCUGAGGGCUGGCUGCCAACUCUCUGCCAACCUGGAUGAAGUGAGGAGGAAUGAAGUUCUUCCCAGCCUGGCAGGAUCUUCAAGUGUGGCAGCAGAUGGGACAUGGGGGGCCUCAGAACCGCUAGAAACAGACCACUUAAGACGUUGCCAUGGCCUGAACAGCUUGAACUACAUCACACAGAGAUUCAGGUCGGGAAGCCAGACAGACCCGGGUUCAAAUCCAGACUGUGCCACUGAUCGGCUCUGUGACCUUGGGCAAGUGACUUUAUCGAUUCGCGCCUCAGUUUCCUAAUGUGUAAAUGAGAAUAAUCAUACCUACCUCAGAGUGACAGUGGG